rnacentral:misc_RNA from 1 species
AAAGUCGUAACAAGGUUUCCGUAGGUGAACCUGCGGAAGGAUCAUUAACACGUAUCCGAACGUAAAAAAAACCCUGUGCGAACGACUCUAGCGCCAGCCUGCAAUAAUUACUGACCUGGCACUCUAAGCAAUCAAUGUUCUGUCAGUGUACAUUGGUUGUAACUUAGAGGCCCACACGGCCGACGACUGGGUCAGCGAGCUGUCAGUGCUCCCCCCAAUAACCACUCAACAAGUACUUCUGCGCUCCUCGGGGAAACCCGAGGUGUAGUUAAAAUUAAUACAACUGUUAACAAUGGAUAUCUUGGUUCUC